AAAAAGGGCUUCUGCUAUGAGUGGCACAAGUAAGGAAACUUACUUGCCCUCAUAAGGAAUUGACAUCAAGAGAUUUCAGAAGCAUCUUUUUUUUUUUUUUUGGCAGCUGGUGAUCACUGAUCCUAGCAUCCAA